rnacentral:rRNA from 1 species
AGUGAACGCUGGCGGUAGGCCUAACACAUGCAAGUCGAACGGCAGCACAGUAAGAGCUUGCUCUUACGGGUGGCGAGUGGCGGACGGGUGAGGAAUACUUCGGAAUCUACUUUUUCGUGGGGGAUAACGUAGGGAAACUUACGCUAAUACCGCAUACGACCUACGGGUGAAAGCAGGGGAUCUUCGGACCUUGCGCGAUUGAAUGAGCCGAUGUCGGAUUAGCUAGUUGGCGGGGUAAAGGCCCACCAAGGCGACGAUCCGUAGCUGGUCUGAGAGGAUGAUCAGCCACACUGGAACUGAGACACGGUCCAGACUCCUACGGGAGGCAGCAGUGGGGAAUAUUGGACAAUGGGCGCAAGCCUGAUCCAGCCAUACCGCGUGGGUGAAGAAGGCCUUCGGGUUGUAAAGCCCUUUUGUUGGGAAAGAAAAGCAGCAGGAUAAUACCCCGCUGUUCUGACGGUACCCAAAGAAUAAGCACCGGCUAACUUCGUG